rnacentral:rRNA from 1 species
UACGUAGGGUGCGAGCGUUGUCCGGAAUUAUUGGGCGUAAAGGGCUCGUAGGCGGUUUGUCGCGUCGGAAGUGAAAACACGGGGGCUUAACUCUGUGCUUGCUUUCGAUACGGGCAGACUAGAGGGAUGCAGGGGAGAACGGAAUUCCUGGUGUAGCGGUGAAAUGCGCAGAUAUCAGGAGGAACACCAGUGGCGAAGGCGGUCU